CGGUGUGCCUAAUACAUGCAAGUCGUACGCACUGGCCCAACUGAUUGAUGGUGCUUGCACCUAAUUGACGUUGGAUCACCAGUGAGUGGCGGACGGGUGAGUAACACGUAGGUAACCUGCCCCGGAGCGGGGGAUAACAUUUGGAAACAGAUGCUAAUACCGCAUAACAACAAAAGCCACAUGGCUUUUGUCUGAAAGAUGGCUUUGGCUAUCACUCUGGGAUGGACCUGCGGUGCAUUAGCUAGUUGGUAAGGUAACGGCUUACCAAGGCGAUGAUGCAUAGCCGAGUUGAGAGACUGAUCGGCCACAAUGGAACUGAGACACGGUCCAUACUCCUACGGGAGGCUGCAGUAGGGAAUCUUCCACAAUGGACGCAAGUCUGAUGGAGCAACGCCGCGUGAGUGAAGAAGGCUUUCGGGUCGUAAAACUCUGUUGUUGGAGAAGAAUGGUCGGCAGAGUAACUGUUCACGCAGUGACGGUAUCCAACCAGAAAGUCACGGCUAACUACGUGCCAGCAGCCGCGGUAAUACGUAGGUGGCAAGCGUUAUCCGGAUUUAUUGGGCGUAAAGCGAGCGCAGGCGGUUUUUUAAGUCUGAUGUGAAAGCCCUUGGCUUAACCGAGGAAGUGCAUCGGAAACUGGGAAACUUGAGUGCAGAAGAGGACAGUGGAACUCCAUGUGUAGCGGUGAAAUGCGUAGAUAUUAGGAAGAACACCAGUGGCGAAGGCGACUUUCUGGACGAAAACUGACGCUGAGGCGCGAAAGCCAGGGGAGCGAACGGGAUUAGAUACCCUGGUAGUCCACGCCGUAAACGAUGAAUACUAGGUGUAGGGGUUGUCAUGACCUCUGUGCCGCCGCUAACGCAUUAAGUAUUCCGCCUGGGGAGUACGGUCGCAAGAAUGAAACUCAAAGGAAUUGACGGGGGCCCGCACAAGCGGCGGAGCAUGCGGAUUAAUUCGAUGCAACGCGAAGAACCUUACCAGGUCUUGACAUCUUUUGAUCACCUGAGAGAAUGUAUGUUCCCUCCGGGGCAGCAGAGACAGGUGGUGCAUGGUUGUCGUCAGCUCGUGUCGUGAGAUGUUGGGUUAAGUCCCGCAACGAGCGCAACCCCUGCCCCCAGUAGCCAGCGCGCAAGGGCGGGCACUCUGGGGGGACUGCCAGGGACAACCUGGAGGAAGGCGGGGAUGACGUCAAAUCAUCAUGCCCCUUAUGGCCUGGGCUACACACGUGCUACAAUGGCGCCCACAAAGGGAGGCGAAAUGGCGACAUGGAGCAAACCCCGGAAAAGGCGCCCCAGUUCGGAUUGCAGCCUGCAACUCGGCUGCAUGAAGCCGGAAUCGCUAGUAAUCGCGGAUCAGAAUGCCGCGGUGAAUACGUUCCCGGGUCUUGCAC
rnacentral:rRNA from 1 species